rnacentral:rRNA from 1 species
CCUACGGGAGGCUGCAGUGAGGAAUAUUGGUCAAUGGACGGAAGUCUGAACCAGCAAUGCCGCGUGCAGGAAGACGGCUCUAUGAGUUGUAAACUGCUUUUGUACAGGGGUAAACCUGAAUACGUGUAUUCAGCUGAAAGUACGGUACGAAUAAGGAUCGGCUAACUACGUGCCAGCAGCCGCGGUAAUACGGAGGAUCCAAGCGUUAUCCGGAUUUAUUGGGUUUAAAGGGUGCGUAGGCGGAUUGAUAAGUUAGAGGUGAAAUGUCCGAGCUUAACUCGGGAACUGCCUCUAAUACUGUUGAUCUAGAGAGUAGAAGCGGUAGGCGGAAUGUAUGGUGUAGCGGUGAAAUGCUUAGAGAUCAUACAGAACACCGAUUGCGAAGGCAGCUUACCAAUCUAUAUCUGACGUUGAGGCACGAAAGCGUGGGUAGCAAACAGGAUUAGAUACCCCAGUAGUC